GACGAACGCUGGCGGCGUGCCUAAUACAUGCAAGUCGAACGCAGUGGGGACGGGUGAGUCACACGUGGGUAACCUCCCAUCAGAGGGGAUAACACUUGGAAACAGGUGCUAAACCGAUACUGAUGGAUGGACCGGCGGUGGAUUAGCUAGUUGGUGAGGUAAAGGCUCCCCAAGGCCACGAUGCAUCGCCGAACUGAGAGGGUGAACGGCAACACUGGGACUGAGACACGGCCCAGACUCCUACGGGAGGCAGCAGUAGGGAAUCUUCGGCAAGGGACGAAAGUCGGACCCAGCAACGCCGCGUGAGUGAAGAAGGUUUUCGGAUCGUAAAACUCUGUUGUUAGAGAAGCGGUAUCUAACCAGAAAGCCACGGCUAACUACGUGCCAGCAGCCGCGGUAAUUC
rnacentral:rRNA from 1 species